rnacentral:rRNA from 1 species
CAGUAGCCACGGGAAUACGUAUGUCGCAAGCGUUAUCCGGAAUUAUUGGGCAUAAAGGGCAUCUAGGCGGCCAGACAAGUCUGGGGUGAAAACUUGCGGCUCAACCGCAAGCCUGCCCUGGAAACUGUUUGGCUAGAGUGCUGGAGAGGUGGACGGAACUGCACGAGUAGAGGUGAAAUUCGUAGAUAUGUGCAGGAAUGCCGAUGAUGAAGAUAGUUCACUGGACGGCAACUGACGCUGAAGUGCGAAAGCUAGGGGAGCGAACAGGAUUAGAUACCCGUGUAGUCCCUGUCUCUUAUAC